AGCCGCCACUUCCGAGAGCGCCUGCCGCCCCUGCGCCGCCGAGCCAGCUGCCAGAAUGCCGAACUGGGGAGGAGGCAAGAAAUGUGGGGUGUGUCAGAAGACGGUUUACUUUGCCGAAGAGGUUCAGUGCGAAGGCAACAGCUUCCAUAAAUCCUGCUUCCUGUGCAUGGUCUGCAAGAAGAAUCUGGACAGUACCACUGUGGCCGUGCAUGGUGAGGAGAUCUACUGCAAGUCCUGCUACGGCAAGAAGUAUGGGCCCAAAGGCUAUGGCUACGGGCAGGGCGCAGGCACCCUCAGCACUGACAAGGGGGAGUCGCUGGGUAUCAAGCACGAGGAAGCCCCUGGCCACAGGCCCACCACCAACCCCAACGCAUCCAAAUUUGCCCAGAAGAUUGGUGGCUCCGAGCGCUGCCCCCGAUGCAGCCAGGCAGUCUAUGCUGCGGAGAAGGUGAUUGGUGCUGGGAAGGGAUUAUUAUGAGGUCACAAUGAAGAUCCUUGCCAUUGACUAAAGGAUAUGAAAACAGGAGACAUUAAUAUUAUUAUUAAGUUGGGUUUUUUGUUCUAUCU
rnacentral:sRNA from 1 species